rnacentral:rRNA from 1 species
UACGUAGGGGGCAAGCGUUGUCCGGAAUCAUUGGGCGUAAAGAGCGUGUAGGCGGCCCGGUAAGUCCGCUGUGAAAGUCCAGGGCUCAACCCUGGGAUGCCGGUGGAUACUGUCGGGCUCGAGUCCGGAAGAGGAGUGUGGAAUUCCUGGUGUAGCGGUGAAAUGCGCAGAUAUCAGGAGGAACACCAAUGGCGAAGGCAGCACUCUGGGACGUGACUGACGCUGAGAAGCGAAAGCGUGGGGAGCAAACAGG